rnacentral:lncRNA from 1 species
UUUACCUCUUCUUGUAGUAACUUGAUUGUGUCCUUGUCACUUCCAUCUCCUUCACAAACUCCUCCUCUGAUCUCUCCAUCUCCUCCACAUCACGUAAAGCUCUCUCCCCAUCUCUUGUCUCCCUCUCUUUCCUCAACUUCCCUUCCUUUCCCUCACACCUCGCCUCCCAGACUCAUUCUGCUCCUAUUCCCUACCACCUCGCCUCCCAGACUCAUUCCGCUCCUUCUCCACCGUCUCUUCCUUCCUCCGCCGCACGGCCACUCAGGACUUUACCUCGCCGUCUCGGUAACCUCACCGUCUCCUCCAUCCCCGUCUCCACCUCUGGUCUCUUCGUCAUCCUCGGAAACAUGCACCAGAUCGUCUCCCUCACCAUCUCCUAAGCGAAUCUC